UUUUCGGGCACCACUAUAUACCCCUGGGGAGUGACGGAUUACAAUUAUUACAAUCACUCGACCAUUGAGAAGCCCCUCAAUUCAAAUCACGUCAGUUUGACAACAGUUGUCAUUUCCAUUUUUGUUUACCUCCUGUUUCUGAUUCAAAAAUCAAUGAAUCGAGACGAGUUUGUUUAACGAAAAAUUGAAAAUUUGUUUAAUGUUUCCGACAAUAGCCGACCGAUGCCAAAGAAGAAUCGGAAGAAUCCUAUGGCGAAAUGCAUCCGGCAGAAAAAUCGCAAAAAGUGUAUUCGCUCGCAGGAAAAGUGUAUUCCUUAAAAAACACAUAGAUUCAAUCGAUUUGAGUGCAGUUAUGGUGAAACAAUAAUAAUAAAGCCUAAAACAUGGAUGAUGAUGAUUUGGUUAUUCUGGACGAUGAGAUGCACCUGCUCGGUGAAUUAGCUCAGCAGCGACAACAACAACAGCUAGGGGUCUACAAUCCGGGUCCAUCCAUGAUCAUCACGGUGGAAACCAAUGUUCUGAAGCCAAAACAAGAAACACAACAACAGCGGUACACUCGAGGUCGGGGAGUGAAACGUACCAGCAAUGGCGCUAAAGUGGUACCCACCAAAAAAAAUCAUCCUCGAGCGAUUCCCGAACCAGAUCCGACGGUUCAAUACAGUUUGUCGGUAAUUGUGGAUGGUCAGGAUGUUUACUAUACAUACUCAGAAAGUAGGCGACGAUAGUUCGGAAGCAAUUGGAUUAACGGAGGAGGAGGAUAUCUGCGAUUGUGUCGUUAAACGUUGAUGGGACCGACACGGACGACGCGCCGGAGGGGUAGGAGCAGCAGCUGUUGAAGGAUGAGCAAGAGUACUAUAAUGUUGAACCGCUGGAGUCAGAUGUUUGGAACGACUUGAUAACGGGGCCAAUCAAGAGAAUCUUAAUCUGCUUGAGUUGUCGGACGUCAAGGACCACAUUGUGGACGCACGACGGAUUGAAGCAGCAACAGCACUAGCACCAGCUAAAUCUUAAUGGGACACAGCGGAAGAACGAUUCCGUCAACGCCGCUUCUCCAAAAACCGAAACGUGGAUCAGUCGCUUUUGACUGUACCACGAAACAGGAAGAAAUUUUUAAUAUUAAUUUACGCAAACCCAACGUAUGCGGCAACGACUAGAUGUUAGAAGCCACAGAUAAGAAGCUGCUGAAUUGUCGUUAGCAUACCACAGAAAAAUUCUAUCUCGGAUCACUAGCUACAGAACAUCCUCGACAACUCGUUUAUUCGCACCACUUGAACUGCUCGUGAUGAAUGAGUUACAUGAAACGGUCGUAUGCACCCUGAGGGUAUCAAAAUAUUAGGAGUUUGAUGUCGGAAUCUCGGCCGGAAUGCUCGAUGGAAGCGAUGGAAAAAGUGUGGAAUAUUUGAGCUACCGCUGGUGUUUCUAUGACGGAUGGGCAAAACAUUUGUUUCUUGUAGCGGCUAUUUUCUGCAACGACAUCGGUCCUGAAAGUCGUAGCUGCUUUUUUCUAUUGCGACCAACUUGAAAGUAAAGCUCAUUCGGAAGAUUAGUGGGGUAAGUUUGUGCAUUUGCUAUUUAAAGUUUAACUAGAUAUACAUUUUAAAUGAUGCACUGUAGUGCGUAUAACAUAUUUUUGGAUGGCAAAAAUUCUCGGAUCCCUGGCCUUGAUGUAUUCAUUUCACUUGCCGCAUAAGAAACAUAUUCAUGCAAUUGGCGGUCAUAAAAAUGCUUUUAAUUAAUAACAGUUGUGGAGAAGGCUAUAGAGCACUAAGUUGGAAAGCUAGCCAAGUUCCAGUUGGUAUGUAGAUAAUAACUUGAGGGGGCAGCAAAAAAAAAAUCGGAUAUUUUUUUAAGAUUUUCAAAACAUUCUUUAACAAACACGAAGAAUUUUUUUUAUUUUUCAUUUUAAUAUUUAUUUUUUAUUAUCACACCCUCCCCCCUCUUCUCUUGAUCUUUCCGAGGCUAGUAAGACAUAUUUUUUUAUUAAAUUCCACAAAACCAAAACACGACUUAUACCUAUUCCAUUCAAUUCCAGCAUUUGAAUUCAGAUUUAUAUUUCGACAUGAACAAUAUGGCCAUCUUCGGUAUUUCUCAAAUAACUCAACAUCGUAUAAAAUAACUUAUAAGUAUAGGCCUUAAACCUAAGUUCAAAAUAAACUAUAAUAAUGAAAUAUUGAUAAAGAAAUCUUCACACUAAUAAAUGCAUUAAAUUAUUCUAUAUAGCUUUUUGCACAGAACUAAAAUGGAGAAUCGUUCAAAAAUUACGUCUAUAGUUUUUCGGCAUUUUCAACCCCCUCCCUCUCCAGUCACAAUUUGCCACAAAUCACUGAUCUCCUCCAAGCCUGUACGUCCAACUGUAAAUUAUAUAAUGGUUCGUCUUCUUCGUACACUACUUUUACGUGGAACUUAGUGAGAAUUAUCUCCCUUAAUAGCAAAUUAAAAUAUUCUUCAGCUUAUCAAAUUGUUUCUAAAAUGUAAUUAGGUACUUUUUCUUAUUGAACGUAACACAAGACGAGACCCCCCCCUCUCCCUCUUUCACAAACUCUCACAUAGUGUAGUCCCCCCUCCCCUAAAACCUUGGAUGUAAUUUUUGAACGUCCCCUGGAUUGAACAACAACAUAAUCCAUGGCUGGUGGCUGGCUUAAUUCCUUUUAGGAAACCAUUGCAAAGAUAAUUCAAUCAGCUCCCGGUCCAUUCAAUUUGAGAGCGGUGUGGGUGGAGGUAUACCUGGCGUUUUCGAUGGUAGUGAAGCUGCCCAGCCAUCAACCCUGCAGCUGUGUAUGUUGGUCCAGCAGAUUCUAAUGCCUGUCCAAGCGGGAUAUUGAAUCAUCUGAGGAUCAAUCAUUAGAACUGCAGAUCCAUUUCUUGUUUAAUCCGUUUAAUCAGAUGCUGAAUAACAUUGAGGUGAGUAUUUAUUUAAUAUGACUACAUUUGUUGUUCACUUGGUUUUGCAUUUCCAAAUUUUAACAAUUACAAGGUACGCAGAAUAAUUUACAACUAGCUGAUUACUCUUGAUAAUGAAGCAACAAAUUGGUGGAUUGCAGAAACAAAUCACCAGUAAUCUUGAACAAGCAUUCUGCACCUGGCAAAAAAGCGGAUUGCGGACAGCACAACAACGGACGUUGGAACGAAGGAAGUAAGAAGCGGUGGCAACAUUUGGACCUAGAACUAUAAUCGGAUGGAACAUACAGAAGCCGGCAUAUUCUCCGCUUCAACGAUGUGAAAACGGGUGACACCACCCUCUAUUCAUCGGAGCGUCGAGUCAUCGCUGGUGAAGCAUUGUAAGUCCUGAAUCCUGGACAAUAUCUCCGCUCCGACAAUGAGCCACCGGGUGGCACAGCUUUCUGUUGGUCAGAGCAUCGAGCCAUCGCUCUCGACAAUGAAUCGAAGGAUGAGGAUGCCUGGUCGCGACAGUAAGAUCAUACAGUUCACGACGGAAGCUAUUUGCCAGGUGGUUGAUGUUUCCAGAAUGCUUGUUCAGGCUUACAUUUUGAGGGUAAGUUGUUUCUGCAAUUCACCAAUUUGUUGCUUUGUCAACGGAAUCAUCGACACCAGCGAUGGCUCGACGCUCCAAGAAUCGGCAGCAGUAUGAACGGACGGCGUAACGAAGGAAGGAUGAAACGGUGGCAAAAUUUGGACCUAGGACUAGGACUAGUUAGAAGCCAGCAUAAUCUCCGCUCCAACGAUGGGUAAACGGGUGUCACCGCCGUCUAUUCGUCCGAGCGUCGAGCCAUAGCUGGUGGAGCAUUGUGAGUCCUGAAUCCUGGACAAUUUUUCCGCUCCGACAGUGAGCCACCGGGUGGCACAGCUUUCUGUUGGUCGGAGCGUCGAGCCAUCGCUGGUGGUUGUUGCUUUAUUAACGUAAUCAUCGACAUUUCAUUAUUGGAAGAGCAAUCAGCUCGUUGUAAAUUAUUCUGCUUAUCUUGUAGUUGCUAAAAUUCGGAAAUGCAUAACCAAGUGAACAACAAAUGUAGUCAUAUUAAAUACUCACCUCAAUGUUAUUAAGCAUCUGAUUAAACAAGAAAACGAUCUGCGGUGCUAAUGAUUGAUUGAGGAUCUGAUGAUUUAAAUAUCCCGCCUGGCCAGGCAUUAGGAUAUGCUGGACAAACAUACGCAGCCAGAGGGUUGAUGGCUGGAUAGAUUGAGUUCUGGGCAACUUCAACACCACCGAAAACGCCAGCUAUACCUCCACCCACUCCGCUCUCAAAUUUAAUGAACCGGGACCUGAUUGAGGAGCCUGAUUAAGUUAGCUUUGUAAUGGUUUGCUAAGAGGAUUUAGGCCACCCAGGCAUGCUGUUGUUCAAUCCAUUAUAGUGCUGUGUAAAAAGCAAUUUAGAAUUAUUUAAUGUAUCUAUUAAAGAGUAAAGAUUGUAUUUAAUAUUUUAUUGUUGUAGUUUAUUUUGACCUUAAAUUUAAGACUUAAGUUAUUUGUACGUUGAGUUAACUGCGAAACACCGAAGAUAGCCAUACUGUUCGUGUCGAAAUAUGAAUCUGAAAAGCCACAAUCAAAUGGUGGAAUUUAAUGGAAUAUGAGUCGAGUCGUGAAUCCUUUUUUUAAUAAAUCUAUUUUUAUCUUAAAAAAGUUGGAUACACUGAAGUCUUCUUGACCUUCAAUGACUCUACAUACCAACUGGAACUUGACUAGUUUCACAACUUAGUGUUCUAUAAGCUUUUCCAUAUUUUAAAUGAUAGUUUUUUUUUAUGGCCGUCAACUGCAUGAAUGCAUGUAGGCCUCUAAGUGCAUGAAUCGUUUUCGACAAGUGUGCCCAAGGAGCCAAGAAUGUUUCCUAUCCGACAAUGUGCUAGAAGGAUUGUACACCCUACAGUGAAUUCUACAUUUAAAAUGUAUAUAUAGUUAAACCCUGAAUAGUGGGUAAAUGGAUUAACUUACCCCCCCCCUGGUUUUCCGAAUGAGCUUGACUUUAAAGUUGGUCACAAUAUAGCAAAGUAGCUACGAAUUUUACCAGCCGGACAGCGUCCAGGACAGGCAUUCCCUCAUGACGCGCUUUCUUACCACAAUCGCCAAGAAACCAAAACAUUCGAUGGGCGUUGCCUCUUCGUUCUUCUUGAAUCAUUCGAUUAAUAGGAGAAGUGAAUUGGCUCCAAACUACUUUGCAUGUCGGUGAAGGCAAUAAUUGCAAUUAUUCAUAAUCUAGGCUAAUAGCAAAGGCGAACGCACACUCGACUCUGGUUCCAUGAGAGCGAAAUUCCAGCGCUUGCACUUCUCCAGCGACCUUUCGAGCCAUCGCUGGUGGUGUUAUUCGCGACAAUGAAGCGCGGAAUGAAGAUGCCCGGUCACGACACUAACUACUCUUCGAAAUAACUUGUCGGAAAUGGAGUUGGGAAAAGAACAUACUACCAUGGGCCUGGAAGCGACGGUGCUGGUACCGGUUCUACUAGUCAACAAUCUUGGAUGAAUCAGUGGAAGUUGCCCAAUAUCGACACGAAUGUGGAACACGAUUUUACUGAUUUCUGUUCAUCUGGCGCGAAAGCAAAAUCCACACAUCCCUCUGCUUUAUAAAGGUGGUUAAGGAAAUAACACCUGGUCUACUUAUCGUGGAAGAAUUGGAGAUGGAUACCCAAAUUCCUCGGCCGAUAUUGCCAGUGAAGAUUGGCCUGCUAAUCAACGUUCUUUCACUGAUUAAGUUCCUGAGUUUGAACAUGGAAUACUAGGGCGCUAAAUUGUAUUUGUAUGUUGUAUUGUAUAUAUUUUUCUAAAUGAUAAUAAAGAUGAGAAUCUAUUGAAACUCCCAUAAUGAAACUAUAUAUUUAUUCACCGAAAUAACUUUAUUUUUUACUGAAAUAAAUCAUGUUUAAAAGUGGAUAAAAAUAUACCGAUAUCGUAAGAAUUUCAUAAAUCAAGCUUAUACAAUUUCAUAAAGUUACUUAAUGAAAUUAGUAAGGCAAACAUAAAAUAAACAUAUACGUUUACAGGUAAACCUCCAUGAGUCGAUGUUCUAUGACUCGAUAUCGACUCAUAGAAGCAAAUUAUUCCAUAUAAAAAAAAAUUUCUGGGUAACUACGAUGGUCCCUUCAAACAGCAUCACAAGGUUUGUGUAUUCCACAUCUCGAUAUUUCCUUGAGUCGAUGGUCCCUUCAAUAUCGACUCAUGGAGAUUUUACUGUAUUAUGAACCUGGUUCAUCCUGGUAGCUUGCUUGAAUGGUUGGUUGCUUGAUUCGUUGGUUAUUUGGUUGGUUGGUUGCAGCUUGAUUUGUUAGUUGGAAGAAUGGUUGAUUGGUUGGUCGGCUGGUUAGUUGAUACUGUUUUGUUUAACCAUCUAAGACGAGUUUAGGACUCUCAAUUUAAUUCCACCAAUUAUUUUGAUAUCUUUGCAGAUACGUAUUUCGACCACAACUGUGUGGUCGUAUUCAGUGUCUCGUACUCGACUGUUUUGUUGCUUGCUUGAUUAGUUCGUUGGUUGAAUAAUUGAUUGGUUGAUUGGUAGAUUGCUUGAUUGGUUGGUUGAUUGAUUGGUUGGUUAUUUGGUUGAUCGGUUGAUUGGUUGCUGCUUGAUUUGUUAGGUGGUAGAAUGGUUGUUUGGUUGGUUGGUUGCUUGAUUGUUAAUUGGUUCUCAAUCUUACCAACUAAUAAGGUUAUUUGGUUCAUUGGUUGCUUGACUGGUUGAUUGAUUAGUUGCUUGAUUGGUUGGUCGGCUGGUUAGUUCAUAUGUUGUUUUGUUGGUUGCUUGAUUGUUGGUUGGUUACUUCAUUAUUGGUUGGUUGGUUGCUUGUUGGUUAGUUGAUUAGUUGUUUUGUUGGUUGCUUGGUUGAUUGGAUUGCUAGAUUGCUUGAUUGGUUAGUUGAUUGAUUGGUUAGUUAUUUGGUUGAUGGGUUGGUUGGUCGGGGGCAACAGGGACUAUGUCCAAGGGCUUGACGAUCCCUCCCCAGGCCAUCUGCUAGUUGUGGCGCCUGCCUAGGAUGUGGUGGGGUUUGUCAGUAGGCCCUGUUUAACCUCUAUAAAAAGCUGCAUGUAUCCGCAAGUAGGCUCCGCCAAAGCGACCGUGUGCCGCUCAAAGCGCACAAGCCCAAGUCCUGGUGUUAGGUGGGACGCUAAACAGCCCUGACACGACGGCCCUCCGACGAGACAGGAGGUUUGCACAGGCCCAAUAAGCCGCCUUUAAAAACAACCAUUACGAACGACAUAGAAGAUAAUACGACUCGAUACAAUCGGCAACGACCUAGGCGACGAAUAAAGGAUCACGAUUGGAAGCUUGGAACGUGGAACUGCAAGUCGCUAGGCUUCGCAGGUUGCAACAGGAUAAUCUACGAUGAAUUACAUCCCCGCAACUUCGACGUCAUAGCGCUGCAGGAAAUCUGCUGGACAGGGUUGGUUGGUUGCUGCUUGAUUUGUUAGUUGGUAGAAUGAUUGAUUGGUUGGCUGCUUCAUUGUUGGUUGAUUGAUUGAUUGGUUGGUAAUUUGGUUGAUUGGUUGCUUUACUGGUUGAUUGGCUGGUCGGCUCGUUAGUUGAUAUGUUGUUUUGUUGGUUGCUUCAAUGGUUGCUUGGUUGGUUGAUUAGUUGAUUCGUUGCUUGAUUGAUUGGUAGCUUGCUUGAAUGGCUGAUAGCUGGAUUAGUUGGUUGGUAGCUUAAUUGGUUGGUUAUUUGAUUAAUGGGUUGCUUUACCGCUUGAUUGAAUGGUUGGUCGGCUGAUUGGUUUAUUAGUUGUUUUUUUGGUUUCUUGAUUGGUAGAUUAGUUGAUUGAUUGGUUGGUUGUUGCUUGAUUUGUUAGUUGGUAGAACUGUUGAUUAGUUGGUUCCAUUAUAGUUGGCAGGUGCUUCAUUGUUUGUUGGUUGCUUGGUUGGUUAUUUAGUUGAUUGGUUGCUUGAUUGGAUAAUCCAGCAAUCAGCCAUACAAGCAAGCUACCAAUCAAUCAAGCAACGACUCAACUAAUCAACCAACCAAG